UACGUAGGGGGCAAGCGUUGUCCGGAUUUAUUGGGCGUAAAGAGCGUGUAGGCGGUUAGGUAGGUCCGUUGUGAAAACUCGAGGCUCAACCUCGAGACGUCGGCGGAAACCAUCUGGCUAGAGUCCGGAAGAGGAGAGUGGAAUUCCUGGUGUAGCGGUGAAAUGCGCAGAUAUCAGGAAGAACACCCGUGGCGAAGGCGGCUCUCUGGGACGGUACUGACG
rnacentral:rRNA from 1 species